AACGAACGCUGGCGGCAGGCCUAACACAUGCAAGUCGAGCGAGACCUUCGGGUCUAGCGGCGGACGGGUGAGUAACGCGUGGGAACGUGCCCUUUUCUACGGAAUAGCCUCGGGAAACUGAGCGUAAUACCGUAUACGCCCUUUGGGGGAAAGAUUUAUCGGAGAAGGAUCGGCCCGCGUUGGAUUAGGUAGUUGGUGGGGUAAUGGCCUACCAAGCCUACGAUCCAUAGCUGGUUUGAGAGGAUGAUCAGCCACACUGGGACUGAGACACGGCCCAGACUCCUACGGGAGGCAGCAGUGGGGAAUCUUAGACAAUGGGGGCAACCCUGAUCUAGCCAUGCCGCGUGAGUGAUGAAGGCCUUAGGGUUGUAAAGCUCUUUCAGCUGGGAAGAUAAUGACGGUACCAGAAGAAGAAGCCACGGCUAACUCCGUG
rnacentral:rRNA from 1 species